UUUCCUGUUUUAGUACCAUUCAUCUGUCCUCUAUCAGUAUGUGUGGCUAUGCUAACAGGAUAGAUAAAAUAUGUCAUAAAUUGCGGGAGUUGCAGCUCUUCCCCUGCAGCCUUCACAUGUCUGACAGUACACUAGAAA